rnacentral:rRNA from 1 species
AGAAAAGGUGGCCUCUACCUGUAAGCUAUCGCCUGAAGAGGGGUUUGCGUCUGAUUACCUGGUUGGAGGGGUAACGGCCCACCAAGGCGAUGAUCAGUAGCCGGUCUGAGAGGAUGAACGGCCACACUGGAACUGAGACACGGCCCAGACUCCUACGGGAGGCAGCAGUGGGGAAUCUUCCGCAAUGGGCGAAAGCCUGACGGAGCAACGCCGCGUGAGUGAUGACGGCCUUCGGGUUGUAAAACUCUGUGAUCCGGGACGAAAAGGCAGAGUGCGAAGAACAAACUGCAUUGACGGUACCGGAAAAGCAAGCCACGGCUAACUACGUGCCAGCAGCCGCGGUAAUACGUAGGUGGCAAGCGUUGUCCGGAAUUAUUGGGCGUAAAGCGCGCGCAGGCGGCUUCCCAAGUCCCUCUUAAAAGUGCGGGGCUUAACCCCGUGAUGGGAAGGAAACUGGGAAGCUGGAGUAUCGGAGAGGAAAGUGGAAUUCCUAGUGUAGCGGUGAAAUGCGUAGAGAUUAGGAAGAACACCGGUGGCGAAGGCGACUUUCUGGACGAAAACUGACGCUGAGGCGCGAAAGCGUGGGGAGCAAACAGGAUUAGAUACCCUGGUAGUCCACGCCGUAAACGAUGGAUAAUAGGUGUAGGAGGUAUCGACCCCUCCUGUGCC